UGGGGAAUAUUGGACAAUGGGGGGAACCCUGACCCAGCCAUGCCGCGUGUGUGAAGAAGGCCUUAUGGUUGUAAAGCACUUUAAGCGAGGAGGAGGGUACUGGUAUUAAUACUACCAGCUACUGGACGUUACUCGCAGAAUAAGCACCGGCUAACUCUGUGCCAUCAGCCGCGGUAAUACAGAGGGUGCAAGCGUUAAUCGGAAUUACUGGGCGUAAAGCGCGCGUAGGUGGUUCGUUAAGUUGAAUGUGAAAGCCCCGGGGUCAACCUGGGAACUGAAUCCAAAACUGGCGAGCUAGAGUAGGGCAGAGGGUGGUGGAAUUUCCUGUGUAGCGGUGGAAUGCGUAGAUAUAGGAAGGAACACCAGUGGCGAAGGCGACCACCUGGGCUCAUACUGACACUGAGGUGCGAAAGCGUGGGGAGCAAACAGG
rnacentral:rRNA from 1 species